rnacentral:lncRNA from 1 species
GACUCUCUUUUUUCUAGAAAUCUGUAAUUAUAAAAUAUUUUCUUACUUGCAUAUUUUUUUUACAGAUAUUAAAGAUUUUGGCAUUGCAUUUCAACACUCCAGGCAAUUAUUGUACCAACAGUCAUCUUUGGCCUAGCAUUAGUGACAUUCUUAGCCUGUUAUUGUAUUACUGUAUAAAGUAAGCUUGUGGGAACUGUAGAUCGACCAGCAAUCCUGGUAAUUUUAUUAUAACAGCAAAAUUUGACUGAACUGGUCGUUCAAUAUCAUUUUUUUUUCUCAAUUGGGUACCACUUUUAUGCAUUUCAU